rnacentral:lncRNA from 1 species
CUUUGCACACGCCCAGUAUUAUUCCCUUAGAAUAAAUUCCUAGAGGUGAAUUCACUGGGUCUGGGUCAAAGGGUGUGCACACUUUAAAGGUUUUUGUUACGUUUGCCAAAUUGCCUUUCAGAAAGAUUAUCUCAAUUUAUGCUCCCCCAAGGAGUGAAUAAAAGUGUUUUCCUCAGCCAUCCCAAUGCUAGAUGUUAAAAAAAUUUUUUGUUUACUAGUUAGGUUCCAAUUUUUUCCUGUGUCUUUCUAGCCCUCAUGCUGCUUCAAUUCUUUUAACUCAUCAAGCAAAAUUGUGUGCUAUCUCUUCUAUAAGAGUCCUGAUGAUCAAACAUAGAUUACAGGAUGAAGAAACCUCAUGGAAGCUUCACUGAAGGCCAGAUGGUUCUCCAAGGUGGCUCCCUUUUGACCAGUGGUCUAAUUUUGUGCCACCCCUGUCUCAAGAGGGGACGUCUAGGGCCUCCGUGGCAAGGGAAGACAAAGCUUGGAAGCCUCACAGAAACUCCUCUAUGCCUUCACGUGGGCCACAUCCAUUUACUACAGUCCAUUGGUUAGCAUUACAUCGUCACCCAGACCGACUGGGCUGCAAAACUGUCCUCCUGUGUCCCCAGGAAGAGAUAAAUGAAGCAGUCCUUGUGGACCUAUAGUGUUAUGUUUUGCCAAGGUGCCAUAGAUUUUCUUUACUUUCAUAUCUUACCUUGAGGGAAACAUAUUUUCUUUACCCUAUCAUAGAACAAACUAAAGCGUGAUUUCUACUUUAUCACACCAAUGACUGUUUUUUUUUUUUAAAGAUUUUUAUUUACUUAUUUGACAGAGAUCACAAGUAGGCAGAGAGGCAGGCAGAGAGAGAGAGGAGGAAGCAGUCUCCCUGCUGAGCAGAGAGCCCAAUGUGGGGCUCAAUCCCAUGACCCUGGAAUCACGACCUGAGCAGAGGCUUUAACCCACUGAGCCACUGCCUGGUUUUAAGUAGCUUUAGCAGUUAACUUGCUCCACUGUUGUAAAAAGUUUGUUCUAUCUGAGAAGUUGGGGUAUGUAUUCUCCAUGACAUCCAUACCCUCUCUCCUGAU